rnacentral:rRNA from 1 species
GACGAACGCUGGCGGCGCGCUUAACACAUGCAAGUCGAACGGAAAGGCCUGCUUUCCCUUGUGGAUUGCGGGUACUCGAGUGGCGAACGGGUGAGUAACACGUGAGUGAUCUGCCCCCAACUUGGGUAUAAGCCUGGGUAACUGGGUCUAAUUCCCGAUAGGACUGCAGGGUGGUGCCUGUGGUGGAAAACGAUUUUCUAGUGGUUGGGGAUGAGCUCGCGGCCUAUCAGCUUGUUGGUGGGGUAAUGGCCUACCAAGGCGGCGACGGGUAGCCGGCCUGAGAGGGUGGACGGCCACAUUGGGACUGAGAUACGGCCCAGACUCCUACGGGAGGCAGCAGUGGGGAAUAUUGCACAAUGGGCGGAAGCCUGAUGCAGCGACGCCGCGUGGGGGAUGACGGCCUUCGGGUUGUAAACUCCUUUCGACCGCGAGGAAGCCACCUGGUUGGAAGGGUGGUGACGGUAGUGGUAGAAGAAGCACCGGCUAACUACGUG